rnacentral:rRNA from 1 species
GAUGAACGCUGGCGGCGUGCCUAAUACAUGCAAGUCGAGCGAACGGACGAGAAGCUUGCUUCUCUGAUGUUAGCGGCGGACGGGUGAGUAACACGUGGAUAACCUACCUAUAAGACUGGGAUAACUUCGGGAAACCGGAGCUAAUACCGGAUAAUAUUUUGAACCGCAUGGUUCAAAAGUGAAAGACGGUCUUGCUGUCACUUAUAGAUGGAUCCGCGCUGCAUUAGCUAGUUGGUAAGGUAACGGCUUACCAAGGCAACGAUGCAUAGCCGACCUGAGAGGGUGAUCGGCCACACUGGAACUGAGACACGGUCCAGACUCCUACGGGAGGCAGCAGUAGGGAAUCUUCCGCAAUGGGCGAAAGCCUGACGGAGCAACGCCGCGUGAGUGAUGAAGGUCUUCGGAUCGUAAAACUCUGUUAUUAGGGAAGAACAUAUGUGUAAGUAACUGUGCACAUCUUGACGGUACCUAAUCAGAAAGCCACGGCUAACUACGUGCCAGCAGCCGCGGUAAUACGUAGGUGGCAAGCGUUAUCCGGAAUUAUUGGGCGUAAAGCGCGCGUAGGCGGUUUUUUAAGUCUGAUGUGAAAGCCCACGGCUCAACCGUGGAGGGUCAUUGGAAACUGGAAAACUUGAGUGCAGAAGAGGAAAGUGGAAUUCCAUGUGUAGCGGUGAAAUGCGCAGAGAUAUGGAGGAACACCAGUGGCGAAGGCGACUUUCUGGUCUGUAACUGACGCUGAUGUGCGAAAGCGUGGGGAUCAAACAGGAUUAGAUACCCUGGUAGUCCACGCCGUAAACGAUGAGUGCUAAGUGUUAGGGGGUUUCCGCCCCUUAGUGCUGCAGCUAACGCAUUAAGCACUCCGCCUGGGGAGUACGACCGCAAGGUUGAAACUCAAAGGAAUUGACGGGGACCCGCACAAGCGGUGGAGCAUGUGGUUUAAUUCGAAGCAACGCGAAGAACCUUACCAAAUCUUGACAUCCUUUGACAACUCUAGAGAUAGAGCUUUCCCCUUCGGGGGACAAAGUGACAGGUGGUGCAUGGUUGUCGUCAGCUCGUGUCGUGAGAUGUUGGGUUAAGUCCCGCAACGAGCGCAACCCUUAAGCUUAGUUGCCAUCAUUAAGUUGGGCACUCUAAGUUGACUGCCGGUGACAAACCGGAGGAAGGUGGGGAUGACGUCAAAUCAUCAUGCCCCUUAUGAUUUGGGCUACACACGUGCUACAAUGGACAAUACAAAGGGCAGCGAAACCGCGAGGUCAAGCAAAUCCCAUAAAGUUGUUCUCAGUUCGGAUUGUAGUCUGCAACUCGACUACAUGAAGCUGGAAUCGCUAGUAAUCGUAGAUCAGCAUGCUACGGUGAAUACGUUCCCGGGUCUUGUACACACCGCCCGUCACACCACGAGAGUUUGUAACACCCGAAGCCGGUGGAGUAACCUUUUAGGAGCUAGCCGUCGAAGGUGGGACAAAUGAUUGGGGUGAAG